GAAAGCGGUAUGCGGUGAAAGUCGCACGUACCGUUUGGGUGGGGGGAAAACUCAGAGAUAACCUCAAAGAGUUACCUAUCCACAU
rnacentral:ncRNA from 1 species